rnacentral:rRNA from 1 species
AUUGAACGAUGGCGGCAGGCCUAACACAUGCAAGUCGAGCGGAGCGGCGGACGGGUGAGGAAUACCUAGGAAUCUGCCUGGUAGUGGGGGAUAACGUUCGGAAACGGACGCUAAUACCGCAUACUAUCAGAUGAGCCUAGGUCGGAUUAGCUAGUGGGUGAGGUAAUGGCUCACCAAGGCUACGAUCCGUAACUGGUAUGAGAGGAUGAACAGUCACACUGGAACUGAGACACGGUCCAUACACAUACGGGAGGCAGCAGUGGUGAAUAUUGGACAAUGGGCGAAAGCCUGAUCCAGCCAUGCCGCGUGUGUGAAGAAGGGCUUCGGAUUGUACAGCACUUUAAGUAGGGAGGCGUUACCGACAGAAUCAGCACCGGAUAACCCUGUGCCAGCAGCCGCGGUAAUAG